rnacentral:rRNA from 1 species
GAACCGGGGGAACUGAAACAUCUAAGUACCCCGAGGAAAAGAAAUCAACCGAGAUUCCCCCAGUAGCGGCGAGCGAACGGGGAGCAGCCCAGAGUCUGAAUCAGCUUGUGUGUUAGUGGAACGGUCUGGAAAGUCCGACGGUACAGGGUGAUAGUCCCGUACACCAAAAUGCACAGGUUGUGAACUCGAAGAGUAGGGCGGGACACGUGGUAUCCUGUCUGAAUAUGG